rnacentral:rRNA from 1 species
CUGGGCUUGACAUACACCGGAUCGGGCUAGAGAUAGUCUUUCCCUUUGUGGCUGGUGUACAGGUGGUGCAUGGUUGUCGUCAGCUCGUGUCGUGAGAUGUUGGGUUAAGUCCCGCAACGAGCGCAACCCUUGUCUUAUGUUGCCAGCAUUUGGUUGGGGACUCAUGAGAGACUGCCGGGGUCAACUCGGAGGAAGGUGGGGAUGACGUCAAAUCAUCAUGCCCCUUAUGUCCAGGGCUUCACACAUGCUACAAUGGUCGGUACAACGCGCAGCGACACUGUGAGGUGGAGCGAAUCGCUGAAAGCCGGCCUUAGUUCGGAUUGGGGUCUGCAACUCGACCCCAUGAAGUCGGAGUCGCUAGUAAUCGCAGAUCAGCAAUGCUGCGCCAUCGG